rnacentral:rRNA from 1 species
UAUCACUCAGCGGGUACGUAGGUAUUUAUUGCUUUCGUUUUCCGUGUACUUUGUUGUCUGCUGGUUAGCAUCAAUUUUGAUUGUCAUAAAAAGGUUAAGGGGAUGUGGCUCCUUCGGGAGUGUUAUAACCCUUAGCGGAAUGUGGCGAUUGGGAUUGAGGAUUGCAACGAAUACCUUUAGGGCAGUUCCGUCUGGUCUCUUGUUUGACGUUCAGAUGGCAAAAGCUUGCUUUUGUUGUUUGAAAGUUAGCAAAUAGAUUGGAAAGUGAAUUAAUUCGUUAAGGAUGCUGACGUA